AGUCGUAACAAGGUUUCUGUAGGUGAACCUGCGGAAGGAUCAUUG
rnacentral:rRNA from 1 species